UAUAAUACAAUGUCAACAUUUCAUAAUUAUUACUUUGACCUGGAACGUGCAGCCGUAGAGCAACAAAUCAGACAAGCCAGAGCUGGAAACCUCCCAGUGGGAGUACAUCUUUGCAACUCUUGCUCUGCAGUGCAGCCAGUAGAGGUCUCUGUAUCAGCUUCACCCUGCCAAUCCCAGCCAGUUUAUAUUUGAAAAAGGGAGUCCAAAAGUGAACAGCACCUGCUGCAACCAAAUCAAAAGCAUUUUGAAGGAAACCAUGACUGAGAUUCAGGUUCUCCCUGCACAGCACUCUGUAACUGGAUAUUCUUUGAGAAAGUUUGAAAAAAAGAAAAAGAAGAAGAAGACUGCACAAGACAGUUUGUAGCUUUAAGGAUUACCCCUCUGGGGCCUUAAGCCAUGAAUACCAGGGCACUCUGCUGUCAGUCCUGAAAUCAUUGUGACUGCAAAUUGUUGCCAAAGCAAGAAAUUCAUAUGACAUGAUGCAUUAAGUACAAUCAAUCAUGAGAGAUUAAAUGAAUUAUUAGAAUGUA